UACGUAGGGUGCAAGCGUUAAUCGGAAUUACUGGGCGUAAAGCGUGCGCAGGCGGUUUUGUAAGACCGAUGUGAAAUCCCCGGGCUUAACCUGGGAACUGCAUUGGUGACUGCAAGGCUUGAGUGUGUCAGAGGGAGGUGGAAUUCCGCGUGUAGCAGUGAAAUGCGUAGAUAUGCGGAGGAACACCAGUGGCGAAGGCGGCUUUCUGGUCUGUAACUGACGCUGAGGCGCGAAAGCGUGGGGAGCAAACAGG
rnacentral:rRNA from 1 species